rnacentral:lncRNA from 1 species
CCUUUCCAUAGUACUGUCCCACAUCUUCGGAUGUGGGAUGCAUUUUCUCGGAAUGUAGGUUCAGGCGCUCAGUUCUAGGUUCGACAGUGAUUCUUCGAGCAUGCUGUUCUACAUCCUCUGUUGUGGUGAGUCCUCAUGUUCCGAGGACAUGAUGUCUGAUGUUGGUUUCACGAAAUUGUUUACAUUUGAUAACUGAGUAUGAGUCUGUUGUGGCAUGUCUCAAUGAGUCUGUUGUGGCAUGUUUCAAUGGCUCACUGGUUUUAUUGAUUUUCUUAGAGGCUUGUCAGACUAGUAUAGAUGUUGAGAGUUGACUAAUAAGUCAUAUUUUGUUAUCUUUCUGAAAUUCUUUUAUUCUUGGAUGAUGAUUACUCUGUUGAUAUUUGAGGGUUAUUUAUAGAAACCCCGUUGAUUUGUGUUGAACUGAAUAAAAAUGGCUCAAAGUGUUAGCUUGGGGCUACUCGUAGCCUCAAGCACCGUGUGAUGCUCCGAGACCCGUUUUUCGGGGUGUUACAAUUAUGAAACCAGUUAAGCAUUUAUCUGAAUAAAUCUAUAAAUGAAGUUGUUUUACUUUUUGUAAUCUAUAAUAAAUCUAUAAAGUGGAUUCCAAAGCUCAUCUGAGGAUCAAAAGAUCAAAACAUUAUUGUAAAUAUGAUAUAAUUAGCUCAUAAAAUGCAUAAAGCAUUAUCUUUCUCAAAAUAACAAUAUUCAAUCUUAGGGUAAUAACCCAUGUAUCAAACUCAUGCCAAAACAUCAUAAUAAUCAUGCUUGAUAAUGAAAAUAAUGUUAAUUCAUCUCAAAAUCUGUAAUUUACUGCAAUAGGCAUGAAAAUAUAAAAAUAGACUUGCAAUUCAUCUUCAAAAUAUCUCAAAAUCUCAAAACUUUGCAAAUAGCAAUAAUGGGUAUGAACCCUAAUUCAAAUCUCAUGUAAUUUCAUUCAAAAUCAUGUAAAUUUGUGAUUGAAAACUAAUUUUGGGCACAAGGAUGAAAGGAGAACCUUGUUUAAAAACCCCACAUACUUUAAUUGAUGAUCUUAGAUGAAAAGCUUGAAUCUUGGGUUACUAUGAUGCUUUUGAAGAUGAGUUCUUGGAGUUCUUAAAUAUCUUGUCUUGGGAAUCCUCAAUCUAAAGCUUUCUUGGAGAAUCUAUGGUGGAAUUUGGUUUCUUGGAGAAGGGGCUUUUGGUUUCUAGGGUUUUUCUUUUGGAGAAUGGUGAAUAAUGAGCAUAAAGUGCUUAGAAUAAGCUUAAAUCUUACCAAAAUGCCCUUUUUAAACUCUAAGUCAGAGCUGAAAAAUGCAAUAUUUUUCCCGAUUUGGUUGGCAAUCGCGACGCGCCACAAUUGUGGUGGCUCACUGGAAAAGGACGAGUGGAAACUGGGCAUUCUCCGUGAUGAGUCUAACGAAUGGUUUCAGCUGUAUGCUCUAUUCCCUAUCUAAUUUUGGCAUGUCUAGUGUCAUUUGAGGACGAAUGUUUCCAAGGAGGGGAUGAUGUAAUACCCUGGGAAAUUUUUCAUUGAAAUUUUGUGCGUAAACGUGUUGGGUUCUAUCUUCUAGAAUGAAUUAUAAAUUUUUCAUAUAGAAUGUCUUAGAUUAUAACCCACUAUUGUGUAGAGUAUCGAAUAAGAUUUCCAACGAUAUGUGGAUCAUCCAAAACGGACACCCGAGCGACGAGUUAUGAACAUUCCAAUCGAACCGUGAAUAGUAGUGAACAGUAAAACAUGCAGGAAAAAGUACUGAGGCCUGGCGUAUUUUUUGCUCCAAAUUUAAAUGAUCUAACUCCUUGUACAUAAUUAU